UGGAAGAAACGUCUGAAUACUUCGGGCCCUAA
rnacentral:piRNA from 1 species